GAACUCAUGUUUUUCCACCACCGAGAUGACAGCAGCCUUGUCUGAGAGGAAGGCAGCUGCCUCCAUUCCUGCAAGUGAAUGGCAUGUCUCAGGACCUAAUAGCCCCUCCAGCAUGGUACCUAUGAAUGAAGCUCCUACAAUCACCAGAUUCUUCCCAGAUGCCAGCUCUAAGACCUUGCUAGAAUCCUCUGGGGUUUGAAGAUGACACACGUUCUGCAGGUCUGCACCUGGGACUUUGAGGAAGCUGGAGCUGAGAGGGAGAGAAUCCAGCUGGUUGUACUUCUGAGAGGAUCCAUCCAUGAAGCGAACCUUCUGCUUCUGGAAAUCCACUGACACUGCCUGCAGGAGAGAGGAGGUAAAGAUCAAGGAGGCACUUUCCUGGUCCACUUCUGUCCUGCCACAUCAAUGCCCCUCCUCAUUGCAGGAAGAGAACCACCCACUGAGGACUGAUCUCAGCUGCUUUUGCACCUCUUUCUC